AUUAGAAGUUGUUGCACAGCAGGUUCUCCCCAUGUAAUGUGCCAAAUCUCAGGUUAUAGAGUUCACUUUUCUCAUUUAUAGGUGUGAAUAUAACUGCUAUAAUUGGCUUGAACAUCUGUAGAAUCAUGACACAGCUGUCUGAAUUCUACUUAUGGUGAAUUCUUAUGAGAAAUUUACAUCCAGGCACUAUCAUAGAU
rnacentral:lncRNA from 13 species